GAUGAACGCUGGCGGCGUGCCUAAUACAUGCAAGUCGAGCGAAUGGAUUAAGAGCUUGCUCUUAUGAAGUUAGCGGCGGACGGGUGAGUAACACGUGGGUAACCUGCCCAUAAGACUGGGAUAACUCCGGGAAACCGGGGCUAAUACCGGAUAACAUUUUGAACCGCAUGGUUCGAAAUUGAAAGGCGGCUUCGGCUGUCACUUAUGGAUGGACCCGCGUCGCAUUAGCUAGUUGGUGAGGUAACGGCUCACCAAGGAAAUGAUGCGUAGCCGACCUGGGAGGGGUAUCUGCCACACUGGGACUGAGACACGGCCCAGACUCCUACGGGAGGCAGCAGUAGGGAAUCUUCCGCAAUGGGCGAAAGUCUGACGGAGCAACGCCGCGUGUGUGAUGAAGGCUUUCGGGUCGUAAAACUCUGUUGUUAGGGAAGAACAAGUGCUAGUUGAAUAAGCUGGCACCUUGACGGUACCUAACCAGAAAGCCACGGCUAACUACGUGCCAGCCGCCGCCGUAA
rnacentral:rRNA from 1 species